rnacentral:rRNA from 1 species
GGGGACCCGCAAGCGGUGGAGCAUGUGGUUUAAUUCGAAGCAACGCGAAGAACCUUACCAGGUCUUGACAUCUCCUGACCUCCCUAGAGAUAGGGCCUUCCCUUCGGGGACAGGAUGACAGGUGGUGCAUGGUUGUCGUCAGCUCGUGUCGUGAGAUGUUGGGUUAAGUCCCGCAACGAGCGCAACCCUUGUCCUUAGUUGCCAGCAUUCAGUUGGGCACUCUAAGGAGACUGCCGGCUAAAAGUCGGAGGAAGGUGGGGAUGACGUCAAAUCAUCAUGCCCCUUAUGACCUGGGCUACACACGUGCUACAAUGGAUGGUACAAAGGGUUGCGAAGCCGCGAGGUGAAGCCAAUCCCAUAAAGCCAUUCUCAGUUCGGAUUGCAGGCUGCAACUCGCCUGCAUGAAGCCGGAAUCGCUAGUAAUCGUAGAUCAGCAUGCUACGGUGAAUACGUUCCCGGGUCUUGUACACACC